UUAUAAGCACUUUUUGACUUAUCUACGCGGUUUGGUAAAAUUAAAAGUGCUCAUAAGUUAGUGUUUAUUAUUAAUUUCAGCACUUUAUCCAAACACGUAACUGCUUUUUUCUUAAAUCAGUUUCAACACUUAAAAGUGUUUUUCAGCACCUAAUGCUUACCGGCUACUCUACAUCAGCGAAGCCAAACAGGCUGUAAGACUAUUUUGUGGCUCAAAUUCGUUAAUAAUAAUGUUCUAGUAAUGCCAUGGGGGUCACUUUUGUAGAAAGUCAAGUCUGUACGGAUACAUUGAUCCUAGAGUUCAAGGGGGCUAGUAUUACGGGGUAGGUGAGGUUGCAUAACUUUGAUGUUCUUGGCACCUAGCUUCCUAGUUUAGAACUUUUUUCUCUUGCUCCAAAAUUUUAUGGUUUGAGUCAGUUGUUUUUAAAGAAUUGAAAAAAAUUCUCCACAGGGUGGUUAUCAAUUGACCACACUUAUAACUAUGUAGCUGCGCCCAUGAUUUAACCUUGAAUUCGCAGAAUAUAGCUCUCUUUAUCAAGAAUUUAUCUAUUCUGAGGACUCAAACUAUGAUCUUUCGUUAAAAUCCAACUCUCCUGACCUAAAGUGAAAGAAUAUCGACAUUCGACAACACUCUUUGAUGGUCAUGCUUUAGAUUUGAUACGAAUAUUGUGGCUUUGAAACAGAAAAAGAGAUGAGCUUUUCGGGCUGGUUGGCCAUGGCGGAUCAUGUGAUUUUGUCUAUAAAGUCCUUCAAAACACGGUGGUUUUUCAUUUGUUACGUAUUGCCCCGUAUGUCCACGACGAUUGCUUAGGAAUGACGAUAACAAAUUUUUAGUGUUGUUUUUGUAUACUCCUAAUAUUUCUGGGUGAAGUGAAUGAGGUUCUGUUGAAAAAGGUUGAAUUUUUUUUAUCAGCAAAAAAGAGAAAGAAAAGGGAAGACCUUGUUAUAGUUGAAGAAUCCUUAUUGUGAUUUAUAUUCUUUCUUGUUUGUUUCUACUUCUCAUAUUUCCAAUUGCUUUCUUGUAGGGAUCUUCCUUUGGACUCAGAUUUGCUAGCUCUUAACUCUUUUACGGCUGUUACCAAGAACGAUGACAGACCAAUAUCCUCAAUUUCAUUUGUUAACAACAUCUUUAUGGAUAUGUAUUCAAUGUUUGGUUAACUUACUUUGCAUACAAAAACAUGAAACAUGUGUGAUUGUAUUUUCACAUAAAAACUUAGUACUAUAUUUCUUUGUUGAUUUGGGUGGUGGAAGAAGCACCUAAGCUAUUGCUACAAAUCAGUGGUGGAACAAGGAUUUCAUGUUUAUGGUUCAUGACUUGUUCUAAAUUACUAAUUUUCACAUAUUCAAUAAAUUUUUGUGACAAAUAUAAAAUUUGAAUUAAAACUAUUGGAUUUAGCCGAAUUCGUAGUCAACUAUCCCCGGCUGCAAAAACUCUGUGUACAUUACUAGUGGCAGUAGUAGAUGUGGCUCUUUGGAUUGUAGGUGGUAGAUGGGGUUGUAUCAUUUAGAAGUCCUCGGCACCUAGUGCCAUGUUUAGAAUUUCUUUUUUCUUCAUGUAUUUGGCAUUCGAAAAUCACUUAUUCAACUAAUUUAAAUAUGUUAUUUUAUCAAGAUAUUUCUGUUCUUAGGACUUGAACCUGAAACAUGUGAGUAAAUGUGAAGAGAUCUUGUUUAUUCGAUUGGCGAUGUUCCAAUGGUUUAGAAUAUGAUAUGAACGUUGUGACCUUUGAAUUGACACAGAAAAAGAGCUGUGCUUUUGAAUAGUAUUUUGAGAAGUGAAAUGAGAUUCUGUAGAUAAAAUGGCAGUUUUUUU
rnacentral:lncRNA from 1 species